AUGUUAGAUCCGGUGAGAAAAGGCGGCAUCCAACGCUCUCGCCGGCGGCGUUCACAAAGCCUUGUCGCGGCGCUGCAAGUGUUACCCCCUCCUCCCCAAGGGCAAGGUGAAGGAAGGUGCCUGUGUGGUUCUUCUGCAGCUCGCAGCGAGGAUUGCUGUGUCCAACCUGCACAAGAAUGCCAAGAAGUCUUCGGAGAUGUAAGCCACGACGCAUGUUUCUGCCAUGAUUUCCUUCGGUUGGAUUUCAUGGAUUUAGGUGUUGAAAAAUUAUGGGCUGUGGAUGCAGGAUUAAGGACAUGUACCUGCACUACAACGAGAGAUCUGGGCUACUUCUUUGUGGCUUCCAAACUUGAAAUGUUUGUUUGGAAGUUAGUUUAG
rnacentral:rRNA from 1 species